rnacentral:misc_RNA from 1 species
AAGUCGUAACAAGGUUUCCGUAGGUGAACCUGCGGAAGGAUCAUUACCAAUUUAAUCCAAAAACACUUUAACCCAUGUGCACUGUGACAUUGUUUGUCCUUGGGGUGGCCGUUUUGUAUUUGCAAAAUGUUUGCUGCCCCACAUUUGUUAAACGCAUUUCUUAUUUUUGUGGCAUCUUAGUGUCUUAUAAUAAAUUGACAACUUUUAACGGUGGAUCUCUUGGCUCGUG